rnacentral:rRNA from 1 species
UUGGUCCCUGAUGUUAGCGGCGGACGGGUGAGUAACACGUGGGUAACCUGCCUGUAAGACUGGGAUAACUCCGGGAAACCGGGGCUAAUACCGGAUGGUUGUUUGAACCGCAUGGUUCAAACAUAAAAGGUGGCUUCGGCUACCACUUACAGAUGGACCCGCGGCGCAUUAGCUAGUUGGUGAGGUAACGGCUCACCAAGGCAACGAUGCGUAGCCGACCUGAGAGGGUGAUCGGCCACACUGGGACUGAGACACGGCCCAGACUACUACGGGAGGCAGCAGUAGGGAAUCUUCCGCAAUGGACGAAAGUCUGACGGAGCAACGCCGCGUGAGUGAUGAAGGUUUUCGGAUCGUAAAGCUCUGUUGUUAGGGAAGAACAAGUACCGUUCGAAUAGGGCGGUACCUUGACGGUACCUAACCAGAAAGCCACGGCUAACUACGUGCCAGCAGCCGCGGUAAUACGUAGGUGGCAAGCGUUGUCCGGAAUUAUUGGGCGUAAAGGGCUCGCAGGCGGUUUCUUAAGUCUGAUGUGAAAGCCCCCGGCUCAACCGGGGAGGGUCAUUGGAAACUGGGGAACUUGAGUGCAGAAGAGGAGAGUGGAAUUCCACGUGUAGCGGUGAAAUGCGUAGAGAUGUGGAGGAACACCAGUGGCGAAGGCGACUCUCUGGUCUGUAACUGACGCUGAGGAGCGAAAGCGUGGGGAGCGAACAGGAUUAGAUACCCUGGUAGUCCACGCCGUAAACGAUGAGUGCUAAGUGUUAGGGGGUUUCCGCCCCUUAGUGCUGCAGCUAACGCAUUAAGCACUCCGCCUGGGGAGUACGGUCGCAAGACUGAAACUCAAAGGAAUUGACGGGGGCCCGCACAAGCGGUGGAGCAUGUGGUUUAAUUCGAAGCAACGCGAAGAACCUUACCAGGUCUUGACAUCCUCUGACAAUCCUAGAGAUAGGACGUCCCCUUCGGGGGCAGAGUGACAGGUGGUGCAUGGUUGUCGUCAGCUCGUGUCGUGAGAUGUUGGGUUAAGUCCCGCAACGAGCGCAACCCUUGAUCUUAGUUGCCAGCAUUCAGUUGGGCACUCUAAGGUGACUGCCGGUGACAAACCGGAGGAAGGUGGGGAUGACGUCAAAUCAUCAUGCCCCUUAUGACCUGGGCUACACACGUGCUACAAUGGACAGAACAAAGGGCAGCGAAACCGCGAGGUUAAGCCAAUCCCACAAAUCUGUUCUCAGUUCGGAUCGCAGUCUGCAACUCGACUGCGUGAAGCUGGAAUCGCUAGUAAUCGCGGAUCAGCAUGCCGCGGUGAAUACGUUCCCGGGCCUUGUACACACCGCCCGUCACACCACGAGAGUUUGUAACACCCGAAGUCGGUGAGGUAACCUUUAGGAGCCAGCC